rfam:Camelus ferus unplaced genomic scaffold scaffold929, whole genome shotgun sequence.
GAGGGUAUAGCUCAGUGGUAGAGUGCCUGGUCAGCAUGCACGGGGUCCUGGGUUCAAUCUCCAGUACCUCCA